rnacentral:lncRNA from 1 species
UUUGGUUAAAGACUACUUUCAAAACAGUUAGGUUUUGGUUAAAGACUGCUUUCAAAACAGUUAGGUUUUGGUUAAAGACUACUUUCAAAACAGUUAGGUUUUGGUUAAAGACUACUUUCAAAACAUUUAGGUCUUGGUAGAAGACGACUUUUUAUACUAGUAGAAAAUAUGGGAUUUUCUAGGAGUUUUCAAAACAUAUACAAACAAUUACAUUGACGAUUUCAAAUGUUAUCAUCAAACUUAUACGAACAAUGACAUUAAAUACUUAUGAACUCACCAACUUAAAUGCUGACCUACA